GUACGCGCUGCUGUCUGCUAACGAUUCCUGUUGUUGCUGCUGCAGAAGAGGUGCUCACAAAGUGUAGGUCCUGCGUGAAGGACGAAUCGUUAGAAGUCAAAAUGCACGGUUUGCUGAGAAAGAUGACUCCUGUACUCCGACAGGGAGUGCGUGGGGUGAGAUCCCACGUCGAACAAGUUCCCGGAGAGAAACCCAGCGCCGCUGUGAAAUUAUUCGGUAUCGGCGUUAUCGGAGCGGGCUUCUUCGGAGGUCCAGCCUGGAUUCUGGUCCACCUCCCGAACUACCGGGGAGAGGCAUAAACACUGUUAAGACUUGUAGCGAAUAGAAAUGGGAGCAAAAUAAACUUCGGAUGAGCUGAGAGGUACAACAAGA